rnacentral:rRNA from 1 species
UACGUAGGGGGCAAGCGUUGUCCGGAUUUAUUGGGCGUAAAGAGCGUGUAGGCGGCUUUGCAAGUCCGUUGUGAAAACUCGAGGCUCAACCUCGAGACGCCGGUGGAAACUGCAAAGCUAGAGUCCGGAAGAGGAGAGUGGAAUUCCUGGUGUAGCGGUGAAAUGACGCAGAUAUCAGGAAGAACACCAGUGGCGAAGGCGGCUCACUGGCCCGGUACUGACGCUGAGGUGCGAAAGCGUGGGGGAGCAAAACAGG